rnacentral:piRNA from 1 species
AUCACUUCGGCACAUUCAACUUG